UACGUAGAGUGCAACGACGUUGUCCGGAAUUAGUUGGGCGGUAAAGGGUACGCAGGCGGAUAGUAAAGUCAAGCGUGAAAGGUGUCGGCUUAACCGACAGACUGCGUUUGAAACUGAUUAUCUUGAGUGUAACAGAGGAGAGUGGAAUUUCCUAGUGUAGUGGUGAAAUACGUAGAUAUUAGGAAGAACACCAGUGGCGAAGGCGACUCUCUGGGUUAACACUGACGCUGAGGUACGAAAGCUGGGGGAGCAAACGGGAUUAGAUACCCCCGUAGU
rnacentral:rRNA from 1 species